rfam:Glycine soja cultivar W05 scaffold5673_20, whole genome shotgun sequence.
UUCUUAUUAGAUGAUGACUGUCACAUGUCAUGUUUUGAUUAGUCAAUGAAAAUAACAAUACAUUUUAUCUUUUAUGGAAUCGACAUUCAAUCAGAACAUGACAUGUGACAUUAUUUUUCA